GACGAACGCUGGCGGCGUGCCUAAUACAUGCAAGUAGAACGCUGAAGGAGGAGCUUGCUUCUCUGGAUGAGUUGCGAACGGGUGAGUAACGCGUAGGUAACCUGCCUGGUAGCGGGGGAUAACUAUUGGAAACGAUAGCUAAUACCGCAUAAUAGUAGAUGUUGCAUGACAUUUGCUUAAAAGGUGCAAUUGCAUCACUACCAGAUGGACCUGCGUUGUAUUAGCUAGUUGGUGAGGUAACGGCUCACCAAGGCGACGAUACAUAGCCGACCUGAGAGGGUGAUCGGCCACACUGGGACUGAGACACGGCCCAGACUCCUACGGGAGGCAGCAGUAGGGAAUCUUCGGCAAUGGACGGAAGUCUGACCGAGCGACGCCGCGUGAGUGAAGAAAGGUUUUUCGGAUCGUAAAAGCUCUGUUGUAAGAGAAGAACGAGUGUGAAGAAG
rnacentral:rRNA from 1 species